ACCAUUUACAUUAAAUAUGGCUCAUAUAAAAACCCCAGAAUCACUAAGACUCCACUUAAUCGGGUUUUCUCGUUCUGAGUUUUCCUCUCCAUCGACAAAAGAUGAAUGGGACGAGAUGAUAUAAGGAACAGACGUUGUUGUCGGCUUCCUCGAUCUACUGAGAAGGUAGUUACAAGAUAAAAGUAUGUCAUCAAGCAGUCCUAAUGAAACCAAUAGCUCUCAAGUUCCAUUAAUAUGUAGGAACUUAAGAUGUGACUGUCAAAAAAGGGCAUCUAUUUGGAUUUAAGAUGUGGGUGCACCAAAUGGGAUUAUUAUGGCCAGAGAUAUUACUCCAACAAUUGUAGAUGAAAGAAAUGCACAAAUGGAGUAGAUGAAGGAAGAUCUAACAAAUCUUACUGAAGAGAUCCGUAGUAUAAAGCCCUGAGUGUGAUGGGACAUAUUUUAAUAGCUAUGCUAAUAGUGAUUUUUAUAUAUUUGAGUGGAUAAGAUAAUAUGUGUUUAAAUUUCUGAAGAACUAUAUGGUUGCUUAUUAUCAAUGAAAUGAGAAUUGCUUCUAUCCA